rnacentral:sRNA from 25 species
GUCAGUAACCCAGCCCUAAAGGGACUGGGCUUGCAAGAGUAAUCAAGCAAGCCGUGCUGACCAGACCACCCUGAGCCUAGUCUAAGGGUAGCCGUUAUUUGAGUCACGACACCUCGGAAUGCGAAGCUAGUUCCCUGCUCUGUC